rnacentral:tRNA from 1 species
GGAGAAAUGGCUCAGUGGUUAAGAGCACUGACUGUUCUUCCAGAGGUCCUGAGUUCAAGUCCCAGCAACCACA